rnacentral:misc_RNA from 1 species
CAUGACGGCGCUGACUGCGAACGGCAUCGUGCUGGUCCCGAUCCGGUCGGGUGUCGGCCUGCGGCUCGGCGCCAAUAUCGGCUACCUGAAGUUCACGCCCCGCGCGACCUGGAACCCUUUCUGACACUUUCCUGNCAGGAUGACCGGGGCAUCGCCCGCCUGCCUUCAGGGAGGCGGGCUGAUUCACGUUAACACGCUGUCCCG